rnacentral:misc_RNA from 1 species
UCACCUCUGUGCGGCCAACNAUCGAUAUGACGGUCCUUUCAAUCGAUCGCUCCNGAAAAAUACUUUGGAGAUCGCUNNNNGGCGGGGNNNUANGAUGGUUGCUUGCGACGGGAAUCCUUUNGUNGGCGGUAUUGACGUCGGUCGAUUGCGCGGUGGAUUUGGNUUCUAUGCCCAUUUUCGUGGCAUGGAGANUGCUNUAUGGGAUGAGACCCUUCCGCCCUUUCGCUUCUUUAGCNGUCCCCACGACAUCCCCGUAUCUGAGGCGGUGGAUCGAGGGUCUNNGUCAUANUGCUGCGAAUGCGGCCCUAAGAAAUCGGGCCUCGGUGUCGCCGGCACCCUGCGCGGGCUGUGAUAUAUUCGGAGGCGAUCGUGCCUUCAUCGUUCGUGCGACUCUGAUUCUUCCCCCG